AGCUUUUCGAAUCCGUGCUAAGAUUUCGUCAGACACCAACCCAUUAGGGCUGAUCAGACUUAAAGAGCGGUAAGACU
rnacentral:pre_miRNA from 1 species